AGCUGUUGCCAUUAAAAGAUCAUUUGCCAGCAGCAGCACAUGGUGCUGUGUAGGUUGGUUUCCAGGCUAACUCCAGAAGCUAAAUACAGUAGCCCAUCUGACACUGUGUGCUCACUGUUAGGAGCUGGUGAGCUCUUAAUGAUGCCUGUUAUGCCUAUUUUUUCCACUAUAAAUCUUUUGAGAUAUUUUUACUUUUACAGAAACAGUAGUCUAACCUGCAGCUCAGUAGUUCUCUAAGUCAGAUUGGAGCAAGGGUCUGUGGUUAAAUCUGUCUUCACUGCAAGUCCUCUCACAGAUGAUCUUCCAGCUUCCAUCAGCUGGAGAUGCAGCUCGUUCAUGCCUGUGGAGCGGAGGAGAUGACGACUUCUCUCCCGUUUCUGGUAACUUUUGAAAGGAAGGAAAUGUUGCUGCAGCUUCUGGGUUGGGCAUAGGAAACCUAUCCCUAGAGCCUUGGAGUCUCUGGUGCCUGUGCAUUUGGAAAAGGGUGACAUUCUCUGAGGAACUUGUUGAAGUCACAGCUCUUUUCAUAAUGGUCACUACACAAGGUUGUCAUUCAAGCUCCUUAACAGUCUCAAGGACUCUGUUAAUGUUAAGUGAGAAGUGUCACAACUUUUUUUUUAGUUGAGGACCUUCACUGUAAGGUGUUGCCAAGAAAAGAAGCUGCAAGGAUAAAUCUGUAUACCCCUCUCCUGCUGCUGUUUUUCCUUCUCUGGCCAGGCCACCCCAAGCAGCUCUCCAGCCUGGCAGAUGUACAACUUCUGAAGGAUCUAACAUCCAGAAGCUUAGAGGAUGAAUUGACCUUGUACAAACUUAGCCAACCUCAGCAAUCUCCCGCCAGAUGUGCGCUUCAUUAUUUAGGUGAUACCACACUGUCAGACUCCUUCUGAAAUGAAGUGGACAUGCCAAUGCAGCGUCUGGUCCUCAGAUCCUUAGCUCCUAAAGAGAAUAAAGAGAAAUUAUCAACAACAUUCAGCUUUGUCUCCACUGCUGUUAUUGAAGAAAUAUCUGGUACAUCAUAAUGCUAAAAAGCAGUCUGGAAAUACAUGGAGAGCAAGGAGGCACUGCAGUCAACCAAAGUGACUGAUAAAAGGCUGAGUGAGAGCUUUCCCAGAGGCUUCCCAUGUCACCUGAGUCAAUACUCAGUUUUCAUCAGACCACAGACAGACCUGGUGUGUGUCAGCUGCAAAGGGAAAAUCUGUGAGGAUGUGGCUGGAGGUACCUGGAGAAGAAGAGAGCACCCAAACCACUUCUCCUUGUGUGUAUAUAUGUAUCUGGAGAUUUGGCCUUGAAGAAAACCCCAGAACUGGAUGUUGCUGAACUUUGGGCAGAGUUAGAUUCUGACCUGAAUAUUGAGGACAGAGUCCUUGUCUAUUUUUGUUUGUUUCCACAUGUAAGAUCUUUAUCCUUUGCUCUUCUGGUCUUUGUUAUCUGCAGGGUAAAGGAUUCUGAACCAGAUACAGAUUUGCUCAUGGAAAUCUGGGCUAUGGGGGCAAUACCUCUUCUCUGUACCUCAUCAACAGACCUUGCUGCUUUCCUCCUGCAGCAAGUCUUGUAGUCACAAGGGUUACCUUUACAGAUAAAUGCUGGUAAGUGUCUAUUUUUCUCAGCAAGAAUACACAAGGUAGAAUACCUCAUAGAAAGUCAAGAUUCGCUUUUCAGUUAGAUAAGUGCCUACCAGCACACCAUUGUAUCCUCCUAGUUGAUUUGGUCAUCUGUUAUUUAGUUUCUAGAGUGCUUCUUUAUACAAACCACCUACAUAUCCCAAGUAUCAGAAUUUAUUUUUUUGUAUUAAAGAGCUGGUUUUCUUUUCUCUAUGAUUCUUGACAAUGUUAUUCAUGGGAGCAAUGAGGAAUUGUUUUUUCUGUACAAAACAACUUGUUCUUCAGAGAGAAAAGCGUAUUGCCCUCUUUGUAUCUGGAAAAGAGAAAAUCGUCCCUUAUUUCUCGUCUGGCACUUGGACAUUGGCUCCAAAAGUGUUCCAGUUACUUUUUGGACUGGGCAUCUAUUUUACAGUAUUUAGAGUGCUGCAGAUUCCAAAGGCCAUCUCCUGCUUCUCUAUUAUAUGUACUGCCACAGCUUUUCCCAGAAAGACGAUUAUCCUUUGCUGGCUUUUAAAAUCACUGAGAAGGCUUGAGAAAGAGGAGAUGAGACAUCAGCUGAGCAACAGUUCUCCACCCUUUCUGUUCCUUUUCAUCAGAAGAUUGGGACGGAGGUGCUAUGUGCUACUUGGGAAGGCUACAUACUUACUUAGUGAACAAGGGAGUGGACUCUCCUAUGUGGGCAGCCUGGGACAGGGAGAGAAGUCAUCCUUACCCCUGUCUCAGCAGUAUUUGACUGAAGCAUUCAUUUUGUUGUCCCCAGCCAAGUUCUCAGUUCAGUACCUACAGUCUGAAAGACUGCUGCUGUCCCUAGGGAGUCCAGACAGGAGAGUCAGAGCAAGCCCUGGGACCUGCAGCAGGCUGCCAAGUAUCUCCAGUUCUACUGUUGGCUCCUUUGCUUUGCUGAUAGAUAUUCUUCAUUUUGCUAAGUUUAGGACCUCACUGCAGAAAAGAGAUGGGGCAAGCAGGGGAAGGUGACUUCGCCAUUAUUUUGGAUUAACUUUAUUAUUUUCCAGAAAUAAAUCUAAGAGGUCCAAGAACAGAUAUCGGGUAAGAAGUGCCUGUGUCACCAAAGGGACAUUGCUGUGCAUUUAUGUAAGGUUUGUCUGAAGGUUUCCCUUUGCAGUUGGAGGAAUGAGCCAUUGAAGCUGCUGUUUCCAGUUCCUGGUUGCCUGUAACAGUUUCAGGUUUCUGUGGUUUGUCCCGGGAUCGUGUGGACACCUCACUGGCACACAGGGCAGAGGCAGAGCACCUGCUCCUGCUCAGCUUAAUUCCAUUAAGUGUUCUCACAGCUGACAAACUCUAAGCAGUACAAUGAAGACCAUGACUGUUUGCAUUGCAGAGCCCUUUUUGAUGUUCAAUAGUUCAAUAUCCCAAAUUAUUUUAGUGAGUAGGUGUGAUGAGAGCUUUAUAGAACUGCAAACAGUCCAUGAACCUAAUACCCUGGGACAGCUCAUUUGCCUAACACAGAGCAUAUGAAAUACUCAACUGCUAUAACACAGCACAAAUAUUUACUGAAAUCAGUUUUUAGUGUUUACCUUGGAGUGGGAGAGCACAUUUUGAGCAAUUAUUCUCUGUUGUGCCCAGCUAUGCAACACAGAAUAUAUUCAGAACAAUCCUGUAGUCAAGCCAUGGGUAUACAUAUAGAUGCUUUAGACAAUGAACUAGUUAAAAUGUAUCCUGUUUUGUUGAGCUGAGCACAGGAGAAAUAAAAGGUGUAACUAGGCCCAGGAUUCUGUGUCGGAAAUGAUGUUUAAACACAAUGAUGACUUUUAUAUAUUCAGCCAUAAUUAGCAAGAUACAGCUCAGAAGGCCCUUGAAGAGUUUACUGUGGCAUUUCCAGUGUCUUGUCUAAACAGCAAAGCUGAUGUCUUUGGCAAAUUCUUGUCAGCAGCUGGUAGCCCUGAAUAUUUUUGUUGUACAGAAAAGUAGCAAGCUGCUUCUCAUGGCACUCAAAGCUGGGGGCUCCUGGGCAGUGCUGUCAAGGUCUUUCACAGGAAAAGUGUUUGUGCUUUUCUGCCCUGCUCAAGGCUGUUGGUGCCACUGCAGCUUUGGCAACACGCUGCUGCUGCCACCAGAGCAAAUCCAUUCUGUGCUCAGAAACAAAGGACUACAGGAUGAGAUUCCUGUUAGUGUGUGGCACUGGUAAAGCGGUCACAUUCUGCUUUUUACCUAUUCCUUUAAGCAGUUUUUCAGUUCCUUUGUUUCUCUGAGAGAGAUGAGCUGAGGAGGAUGCGGGUGAGAAUAGUCCAUGGAAAGAAAUUUUCAAGGAGGUCACUGCUGUUUCACUGGAUGAGGAGGAGCUUAAGGACAGCUGUUCAGGCUUGCUAAGAAUGCAGAUCUGUAGUAAAAGGUAGAGAUUCUCAAACAUUCAUCAAACACUUUAUACCAAGGUAUGAUGUUUUUCAAAUACAUUAUUUGCCAACUGGUUUAUUUUUCUCUUUUCUCCCCCACUUCAAUAGAUUUUAAAAAACCCCACCACCUCUGUUUAUGUGGAGGGUUUUCUUGAGCAUCUUGGGAAGGUGACAAAAAGAGUGUAACAGUACUCAUGUGUCUGUGUUCUGGUACCCUUCUAUGUGCUUUGGCCUGUUAUGAACAACUAUGCAAUGUUUAGGACAGCAGAAACUGGCUCUGUGUUGUGUGUGUGGGCUCAGCUGCCUGUGUGGUGUGUUACCAGAACAGGGCCUUGUGGGUUUGAAAGCUUGCCAAGUGCACUUAGAAAAUUCCUGAGCUUCAGCCCCUUUGCUGUCCAAGUUCUUGCUCUUUCAUUAAGGGUUAAACACCUGAAAUACUUCAUUUCACCAUGGGUAUGAUUCACACUUCAGAGGAGAUGAGAGUGACCGAUGUUUUUUGUGACUGUGCUGUUGAGUUCUGUUCUGCCUUUCCACCUCAACAAGGAUUUCAAUGUGGCAUCUGAGUAGGUCGAACACCACAGAGGUGUUCAACCUUCACUUGGUGGCACUCUUUUUAUCACAUAAAGCUGUCUGUGGGUGCCUGGAGUCAUUUGCUCUGAGAGACCCUUUCAUGGAUUGAGGAGGCCAUGCAAACAACGUCAAUGAGAUUUAAAAGAAUCAACAAUUCACUUUACUUCUCUGAGUCUCAUAACAAAUGUCACCCCAACCGUGAUCCUGUGUUGGGAUAUGCUCCUUACAUAUAUUCAUUUGCCAGAAGUCUAUUUGUAAACAAUUCCUAUCAAAUCAAUGUGACAAUCCAGGUAUGUUUUAGUUGUUCCUUCCCCUGUGGCUGUUCAUCAUUACAAGGCUGAGAAGGCACCACGCAGGGGCCAGCACAGCUGCAGAAUGAAACCAAGAAACUCAGUGUGUUCAAGAUGGAUGGAAAGCACCAUUCAUGAAAACUCUUAUGAUUAAAAUUAGAACUGAUAGCAACAAGGUUUUUGUUUAAAGAAAGAAAGGAAAUAGAAAACAAGGAAAAAAGCAGAGAGAGUAUAAAGCCUCCUGCAGAGUGGGCAGAAGAGGAAGAUGGUUAUAGUGUUUCCAAAAUUUAAUAACCAGGGACAGCGGAAGGAGGUGAGGGAUGUGGAAAAUCCUGCUCCACUGACGGGACCUGCCACAUGCCAGCAGCAGCCUGCAGGGGACUUAGUGCUCCACAAAGGUAUUUGCAAAUUCCCUACAACAGUUUUUUUUGCUCCUGAAGCAUGUACUUUAAGAAUACAACUUUUUCUAUAUCCAAUUGCCACAUAACAGUACCAAGUUUUUAUGUUGUAGAUGUAAAUCAUAAUUCGAAGUCAGGUGACUCUUAAUGUAUGGACUAAUUAGAGAGAGGAUGGAUCUGCAGUAUAACAAAAUUCUAAUGGGGUCAGGACUGAAAUACUACAAAAAAAAAAGCUAUUUUUUUCCCCUCUUUGUCUUGGAGCCAUUAUCUAUUGUAAUUCCUCUCUAUUGAAGUAUGAAUCAUGUGAAUCCUACCUUUAAUUUGUUUCUUUAUCAGUGCUUUGUUGAUUUCAUAGGCUAUACAAAGCACAGCAGGGGAGAGCUGUGAGACUAUGUAUCAAGCAUUAUAGUGCAUUAGAGUAAUCACUUUUCUCUCUAACACAUCAGAUGUUGUCAUCAAGUUUUAUGAGUAUAGGUGUUAUUUUUCUCAGAAUCUCCUGAAACUAUUCAUCUUAAUUAGCAGCAGUAUAAGCUUCUUCAUAAAGUUGGAAUACAUCUUAUCGUGAAGAAAUUUUGUGGUAAAUGCACCUGCUUAGUAUUUCUAAACAAAGUGAUAAAAAAAUAAAUUCCAUAGUUCAGAAAGCUUUCUUUUUGAAAUUAAUUUGAAACUGUUGGUGUAAGAUUAGAAGUUGCAGUAUUUUCCUCUCAAGAGAUCAGAUGGUAAACUCUGCUUUGUGGUUUUCAGUCUGACUGCUCUGUGUUCGUGAGCCCCAUCCUUGCUCCUGGCAGACCCCAGUAACUGCUGACACGAUGCCGCUUUGCCGGGUAUGCAGGUUGCUGUUGUUGCCUUUGUUCUCCUUGCUGUGAUGUGACAUGUUUUUUAUCAUCCUAUGUGAAUAUGUAGAUAUUUCUUCUUUUUCCACUUUGGUCCAAAAAAAAAAAAGCCUUUUAAUCGGGGUCAGCAAAUGCACCACAAUUCCAAAAGACAAACGAUUGCAAAGAUAUAAUCCAGCUGUUGAUGUCCAAUGCUAUGAAAAGGUUUCUUAAAUGUAUGCUCAGUUGUUGCUCAACAAAUUUUCAAUGCAAAAGAAAAUAAGGGCCAAAUAGCCCCUGUUCCCUGAGCAGGGCAUGGUGGUCAGCUGGAGUACCAGUUCACAAGCAGCUCCCAGUAAGCUGGCACUGGUGUUGAGAAUGUUGUUCCACACAGUGUUAUUUCUAGUCCCAGUCUUUUGCUCCUGUUCUUUUUUUCUAAAGGGAUUGAUGAAUAGAAGACCCUGAAUGAAGUGGUUUGGCAUUUGUUUUCUGACGUGGCAAACAACAAAAAAAAGCACGGCCAUAGCUGUGUUCAAGGCCUCCUUAUUCAUCAGCAUCCUUAAAGUAGCUGUGCCCUGUCAUUAUGAAACGCUGUGGACAUUUUUUUCGUCGGUUGCAAAGUGGAAUUUGACAAGGAAAAUGCUCAAAGGGUGAUAAGCAGUAAGAGACAUCUCGUACAUUUGAAUAGAGCACUUAUAGAUUAUUUUUAUUAUCACCUUUUUUGCUGUGGGGUGGUUUACUCUUUAAAACUCUCAGCACUAUUCCAAGUUAUCCUUGCAAGAUUUGCCUUUGGGUGAGCAUAUCCCCUUCACCUCUAAAUUCUUUACAGCCUCAUGCUGGGUACUGUGAGGCUUCUUGUGUUUAAGAAUAAAGGUGUCUUACGGUGCUGAUUGUCUGAGACCAGGAGCUGGUUCAGCACUGUGAGGGCCUUGAAUAUCAUCUGCCCUGCUCUGGCUGGGGCCAGGCAGGAGUCAGCAAACCUGCUGACCUUGCCCUCUCAUUCAUGCAUUGUGUCAUGCUGGGGGUAGCUCACAUGCAGCGUGGCUCUGAGUGUGCAAGGCAGCUUCAUGUUGCUGUCUGAACACCCUGUGCUUUCAUUUUCUGUUUAAGUGGGAAUCCAGCUGAACUAGCAUGUUUUUUAUAUAGAUAUUGCAACCUUACUCUAUGAAAAGAUUAUUUGAACUCUCAGAGAGCAAUGGACAUUGAAUUAUUUCCCCCCCAAUGAUGUUUUGUUUUCUAGUGUUGGGUUGAGUAUGUGAAUUUGGGUGUCAAAACAUGUAUCUCGAGUUCUGAAAAGGUGAGAAAGUGUGUCUGUAUAUAUGCAGUCAGCAUCACAGCUUUGUGCAGAUUGUCAGUACUCUAUAUAAUGCCUGGCAAGACAGGUUAUAGCAAGUUCUGGCAUUUAUGGAGAAGCAGUUUGUCCGUUCAUGUCACUCAGUGCAACAGCUGCAUCUGAAAUUUGUUGCCCUUUGUUUAUAGGCUGGUCCUGGUAUUUGGAACUCUUAGAGUGUUUCACUGCUCAGAUGUCCAGAAUUUAAAACAAAAUCAAUUAUAACUGCCAUAGGCAAGGGGGUUUAUGGUCAUAAUGUUCCAAUGACAGUGUCAGGGGAAAGCAUCAGGAACUUCCAGCAAAUAUUUAUUUGCAGACAUUUCUACACAGUCAUCUUAAAAUAGCAGUAAUUGGUACAGAAAAAGCAGAUACAGCAUGGUCUCUGUCCCUGCAGAAGAGUAACUAUAUAGAUAGGUAAUAUAAUGUUAGAAAUAGAAAAAUAAGAUGUGAUACAAAAAUGCAAGUCAUUUUUUAGAUGGAAGAUAGUUGGGUUUGCUGCACUGGCUUCUAAUGGCAAUCUCUUUGCAGGAUACUUCAAAAGUGAUGGAUUGAGGCACACACAUAAUGACCUGUUCCAGUCAGAAACAGAGACAGCCUCAAAGGGUGUUGCCAAUGAGAUCUAUAGAAUGGGACAUGUGAGUGUAUACAAGAGCAGUGUUGGUACCAUUUUGCAUGUAUAUCUUCCUGACAAAAAACUUAAAGAAAAAAAAGUCAAGACUGCACAUUUUGGAGGAUUAAUCAUCUGAGAUUUUUCUUUAAUUUAUCACCAACAGGAGUAAUGUUCACUUUCUGUUUUACAGGGACACCCACAUAGACUUUAAAAAGCAUAAAUAAAAUUAUGUCCACACAGGCUGUGGGUCUGUGCAGCAGCUGUUCACAUGACACUAUAUUUUAUCUGCAUACAUUUAAUCAUUUUUUUCCUAAGCAACUGUCUCAAUCUGUCAAAAUAUUUGUAAAUGGAUUCUGUUUCCAGUGAAAUUUGCUUUCACUAGCACAACAGAGAGACAGGGAAGACUUAUGCCCAGUGGGAAGAAAAAAAAGCAAAAUUGUUUUCCAUUGCAGGUUGAACAGCUCAGUCCUAAGGCGUUUGCCUUGAUGGCUGUGUGAAACCAGUACUCUCACUUAGCAGCUUCCUCAUUUCUGGGCCGAGAUGUUUCAUUCCAUCAGACGGAUUUCUCCACAGCUGAACAAGCACAAACAACAUGCAGAGAAAGCCAGGAUUUUAGAACCACUCUGCUGGAAAAUGUCACGUAAAUAUUACCGACCCGCUCGGCCAGCAGGAGCUUUGCAGGGCACGCUUCGGAUUGGGCUGGCCCCCAUAAAAUAAAUAAAUAAAUAAAUUUGCUUUGCUGUUAUUUUGGACACUCCAGCGAGGAUGUUCCGUGGGGCUUCUGUGCUGCCGGGGCGGGGCAGCAGAUGGUGCUGGUGCUGCAGGAACCGCCGCUCGCUGCCUGUUCAUUGACUGGAAAAGAGGUAAAAAGGGGGAGAAAAGGAAGGCAUUUCCAGGGACUCAUUUCUCUGGCUGUUGAUAUCGUUUAGGGAAAAAGAAAGUGGUAAAUAUUAACAAAUUGCACUGAAAAAGAGCGGACUGUGUGCCCAGCUAUUUGACUAAGCGCACCAGCAUAAGGCUGUUGCCAAUAGCCUCACAAAUAACUGAAAUUUGAUCGUACAGAAGUAGUAGUUGCAGUAAAAUAAUCGAGAUCUGAUCGUAUAAAAGGAGUAGUUCGAUUAAAGGCAGAAAAUUGUGAAGCAUAAUGUAUAGAAUUGUUAGGAGUGCUAUAUUUGAAGUAUGCAACCAUGGAUACCUCCCCAAGAAGUUACUGGGCUGCUUGGAAAUCCCCUUACCCUUCCCAUCUUGAUCUGAGUUUCAAGAAUUCCAGUCAUUACAGCUAAAUAGAACUAAGCAAUAAUUAGUUUUGAGUAAAGAUAUAUAACCUAUGGAACCGAUCAUUGUAAAGAUUAAAUUCAAGAAUGGACUUAUGUAACAGAAAAGAAGUAUAGAAAUGAAUGGAAGAAUGAGCUUAUGUAACAGAAAGGUAUAAAAAUGAAUGGGUAUUAUUGCUAAGUGGAACAAAUUUGGAGGAGCGAUGCCACAUGUUCCCAGCAAGCUGAAUAAAGAAGUGUCUGCUUGUUCACAUCAAAUUGGUGCUGGAUAAGUUUCUUUUGUCCUGUUUGGUGACAAGGCUGUGCUUAAAAUGUGCUUUGUUUUCAAACAGCUUAACUAAGUAAAAACCAACAAACAAAGAGCCAAAAGAAAAAAAAACACAAACAAAACCAACCCAAUCUAACCAAAAAAACCCACAAAUAAAAAAAAGCCAAACGAAAUCAGAACAAAACAACAACCAACCCAAACCCCCAACCUAAGGUCUGUAUGAACAUGCUGAAAGACCCAGGAAUGUCUCCAUCCUCAACUGACUGGGGGAGUGCUGGAGAAAUGUGGAGAAAUGAUGACAAGCACAGCCAAAAAGGGGUAUAAAUGAAACAGUUUCAAAAGAGAAGACAAAUUUGGAAAGAAGAAAAAAAAGUAUUGUGACAUAUUUGAGUACCCAGAUCAUGCCAGAAAGCUAAAGGGAAGCAUACAGGUAUUGUACAAGAAAGUUUAUUUCAGAUUCUCUCUCCUGUACUAACAAUAUAACGUGAUCCCAUUGUACCUAUUAUCUCAUCCCAUCUAUUGUUUUGCACAGCCAAAUCCUUUUAUGUAAGUUGUUAUGUCUCACCUGACUUCAAUCAGCACUGGUAACAUAUACCAGCUGUCUCUCCCUGUGCAUCCCCCUCUGUUCCUGCCAGUUCUCUAAUCUUUUCAGGAAGACCUCCUUUUUUCACCAAUUGUUCUGUCUUUCAGUUCUGAGACUUAUGAUGAUUUACAAUCCUUUCCAGUCUCAUAAACUUUGUACUGCUCUUAGUCCUUGUAGUUGCUUUCUAAUAGUCAACCUUCCAGUUACCUUAAGAUCUCUUACCUGUAUUUGUUGUUUCUACUUAGGUACUUAAGCAUCUCUCUAAUUUAAUUCUCUGUAUUCUAAUAUGCAACUUGAAAGAAAUACAACUGUUUAUAAAUAAGCAUUGUAUGCAACUCUAUUGUUGCCUACAGCACGUUGCUGAAAGGGCUCAUGAAAAAAUUAGAGAAAAUUCCACAUGAUGAUCUCAUUGAUUUUCCUUCUGGCUAGGAAAAACAUUUGUUUAGCACAACAAACUUCUUGAACAUAUUAUAGCUUACAAAUGGAGUAUAACAUACAUCCACUUGUUUGUCAUGUCGAAGGUGAUUUAUUUCCGGAUGACAUAAAAGAAAUCUCAUGUUCAGCUACUUCAGCAUUGAAGUUAGCCACACUUUCAACACUUCGAACUUUGCUGCUAUUUGAACACCUCAGUGAGAAAACUACUGUGGGGGACCAUUGAAUUCUUCGCUAUUUCAGGGUGUCACAAUGGUAUCUAGUAUUUAAAAAGUCUGGACCCAAGUGGAUGUGUAGCUUUUUUUAAGUAAAAGCUAAUAGCUGUUGCUGCUGAGUAAAAGAAAACUCUGUAAACCAGUGCCUCAGGGGAAUUGUACAGGAUGCAUGUGUUGACUGUCUGAGCUGCUAUGUAUUAGCAUAAAUCUAUGAGUUGAAUCAUUAUUUGUAAUUUGAAGUUUGCUGAAAAUCUUCUAAAGUGAGACCAGGAAGAAGAUGCACAAUUAUUUUUGUUUUGCAUAAUGAGCUUGGCUAAGUAGAAGGUCACCUCAAAGUAGAAUUUUUCAAGGAUACCAACAUUUCCUUAUCCUAUCCUGUGUGUCUGAUAAAAUGGCUGGGUCUCAAGAUGUGUGCUUCACUAAUUGAAGGUCAUAUUAGCAUGAAAGGGUCUAGCCUUGGCUGAUAGCUACCAUUUCAAUUUAACAUUGGUUUUCUUAUAAAGUAGAAAUAUGUUUCUCCUACAAGAGUUACUCUUCAUAAUGCAAUCUCGUAAAAUCUAAUGUAGAAUGGUACAUUCACGUCUAUCAAUUUAAUCUUCCCCUUAUGUUAAAUAAUUAGAAUGAAUGAAUAGAAAAAAAAUCCACAUGUAAUAGCAAAGAGAUAAUAUCGUGUGUAUAUAAAAUAUCACUUGACACUGUUUCUACAGUGAAUUAAGGCUUUGUUGAUCCUAAGCAAAAAAAAAAAAAAAAAAAAAUCAACUGGAUUAUAACACAUAGCUUCAGUGAGGGUUUCCAGGAUUUUAGAAAUUAAUGCAGUGUUCAUGAAUAUGGAAAAGGUUUCCUUGUGGGAUUCAGAAAUGAGGUGACAGUGCAGCAGCUGGCCAACAAAUCCAUGUGACUAUUGGUACAAGGGUAUAAAUAUCAUCCACUGCUGCAAGCACAAGUUAAAGAUGUGGCAUAGAUCAGUUUUUAAGUUGUCUGCUGUGCAAAAGAACUGUUGUCUCAAUCAGGAAACACAAAAAAUAAAACCUAUGGUUUAGAUUUUAUUGUGGGGCCAGGGCAUUCCUUUGAAGCUUCAGGUGCUGGCUGAGGCAGGACACUUGCCUCAGUGAUUCAUUGCUCCUAAUCAGGUCAGUUGUUUCUUACAAAACUAGCAUUUACUAGUUACUUUGGUCUUAUUUUAGCAUUGAGAAGUGUUCUGAAAAAGGGGUAUGACUCAGGUUCCUAACAGCUGUAGAUUCUAUUCAAGUAGGAAGAAGUUAGGUGCAUUUUAAAAGUAUUUAGAGCUAAUGAAAAACAAAGUAUUUUGAAAUUAAUGUCAGGUGAUAAUACCAUGAUCCUAAAUUGAAGUUCUCUGUGACUAUGUUAAUGCUGUCCAGCAUAAUUGCCUCGAAUUGCCAUCUAGAUGUUAAAAAUAUCAGUCACCUCAGAUAAGCUGUUAUCAGGUGUGCAAAUUAGUUUGCACAUAAAAUAGGUCUUGACAGGUCCCAAAAUUAAAGCUGCCUGGUUCUCUGUGGCACUAUUUAAUCCUACUUCGCCAGAGUCCCCUACCUGAAAGUUGUCUCUUUACUGAUUUGGGACAUAAUGGAGAACUGGAUUAAUGAUAGCUGGGAUAGCAGCAUGAUAUAGCAUGUUAGGAAGGGGACAUAUAACAGCUGCCUUUGUCUGAGCAUCAGUACGUGACUCUGGGAAGGUUUUGUGCCACAAGCUGGAUUUCUUGUAAAAACUUGUCAGAACGAUUGGCAUUCUUGAUCAAGGGGUUUGGGGUUUUUUCUGCAUUUGAAUGAGAAUAAAUUAUAACAGUAUAGUUAGCAUUUGUUUAGAGAGAAGAAUUUGUAGCCAUACUGGAGAACGCUGAGCAAGGAGACAACUCUGAAGGGAUGCCUCUCUUUUUCUGAGUAAUUGGGCAGCAGGAUCCCGAAGCAAUUUGUUUCUUAUACAAUCUUCCUCGCAAAACUCUUUGCUGAAAUAUGUGGAUACCUGAGAUGUGUCACCCUGAAAAAAAUCAGCAGAGGAGUUCCUGAAAUUUAAUUUUGUACACAUCAACACGUUUCUUGAUUAGACUUUAAGCUUUCAAAAAAGAUGCCAGUGUUUUACUGCAGUAAAAUUAGGACUUAAAUCUUCAUCCAGUUGCUUUUUCUCACAGCACUGCUCUCUGUGGACAGAAGCAGGCAAUCUGCACAUGCUUUGUUCUCUAUCCACAUCCCUGGCACAUGGUCAGUGACAUUGUAUAGACCAAAACAUUACUGCAAGUUCUGGUUUCCCAAACGCUGUCAGGUUAGAAAAAUGGUUGACCAAGCUCAGGUGACUUAUUUUUCAUAGUUGUUGUGCUUUGUUUUGUUGAUGUUGCUUUGUGUUUUUUUAAUUAUAGGUCAGAAGAAGAAAAGGCUCAUUACAAUCACAAUAUAUGCCAUGCAUAAACCCUAAUUUACAACUGCGGGGGAACACUGCAUUCUGGAUUACCUGUCAGUUGUAGACAGCAGCUAUCACUUCAGAGUUACAACAAAGGAGAAAUGGAAGGCUUCUCUGCUCCCAGGUACUGUUCUAUUCUGCAGUGUCAUGGUGAAAUAUUAAUUACAUUUAUCAGAGCAGGAUUAAACGUGGAAUGAAUGAUUAAUUAUUUGGCACUGGGAUAGAUUAAAGUUCUGUCCGGGGUUUAUGUAUUCAUUAAUUACUUGUUAAAUUAAAGCCACACCACUCUGGAGGAAGAGCAGUCUUUUCAGCUCUGCUGGUGCAGUGGUUUGUACAAUUUAUUUGGUGUUCAAAGGUGCUAUCUGUAACAAAUAAUUGUCAUGAUAAUAUAUUCUACUUCUUAAGCAUGAUGAAGAAACCUUAAAGUGUGUACUGCACAGUUUGCUUCCUUGCAGGUAUUAGCCUUUUAUUUUUGUCCUGUAUGAUGUUUUAAAAGGCCGUUUAAGAUUUAAUGUAACACAUCCUUGAUGAAUUUUUGCUAUCAGAGCAGAAGCAAUAGGCUGAAAUGGCUUUACUCAUGCUCCUCAGCAGAGGAACCUGCUACCAGGAGAGCAGAUAAGUGUAAGCCCUCCCUGCUGGAUGGUUACCUGCCCAGCACCUCCGCUGGUGUGGUCAUUCUGUGCCACAGAGGUCACGUAUUCUUUAGCAGGACAGGACAGCAGGAGGCUCAUAUUAAUGAUAGUGUCUAAAAUAUAUAUCUUAGAGUGUUUCUGAGCUGAUAAGAUUUUCCAAGAAUCUUGGGAAGGCUCCACUUUUGUGUUGAUGGCUUUGUGUACAUGGAGAUGUGUCUUGUGGUAUUUUCACUAAACUUUUACUGGGCCGAUGUCAAGAUUGACCAGUUACUGCAGUUACUUGGAUUUGAUAGCACUUUAUGCAUAGAGUGGCACAGACUGAAGGCUGCCAACAGGUUCAGCUUUGCCCUGUCCUACCUUCCUUAAGAGUAGGUAGCCAUGCUGUUCUUCAUCAUUAUAUUAAAUAGCUUAUAAAUAUAGCUGAUAUUAAAUAGCUACUGUGUUGCCCUGAGCUGGGGGAGUAGGGGACAUUGUAGUCAUGUGUGCCAUUGAACUCUUAGCUGAUAUUUUGUGAAUGAUAAAAGCCAUCAGGUACCUUCAUUGUCUUUGUACAAGGAAUUCCUCUUUUCUCCUCAAAAGACCUGUUUUCAUGAUGUUUAGUAUUUAACAAAGGGAGCCAGGACAAGGUUUGCCACUUCGUGACUAAAGGUUUACUAACAUAGGUAAAUACUUAUCCUUCAGCUUUUUGUUUUCUCUGUUCCCAUUGCAUAUUGUUGAAGUGCAGAAUCACAAGCUGUAGGGUUUGAGUGUUUAUUGGAGUUGCAGAGGUUGAUUAAAACCAGAUUCUGUCUGGGUCUACAAGUGGUCAGAAGCCCAGGUACUUCUAGAAAUGAAAAAUGGGGAAAAAGUGUCAAAAUGUAUGAACACGUUUGAAAAUAUUAACCUUCCCCAAGCACCAGCCCCCCCUGCUCCAGAGAACUCAGCUGUUUGGGACAUUGCUAGGACCACAGGCAGCAAUUGCAAUGAGAUGGUUAUCCCUUCAGGAAAGCCCCACAAUUCCAGGACUUGAGAGAAAAUAUUAUGAAUGUAGCACUGCUGAGAGAUGCUAAAGAACGUGUCACACUGAAGAUGUGAAAUACCACACGGAAUCAAUAAACAGCCCUCUGACUAACUGGAAACAGUGGUGCAGUUUCUCAUUUCUGCCUCAUUUAAAUAAAUCCAUUAGUAUCAGGAAUCAAGCUGUGUGUCCCAGUGGUGCUGUGUCAUGAAAGGAUAUUCACUAACCUAAGUGUAGGGGACACUUUUGGGGGAGCAUGCCUUUUCUGCAAAGCACUUCCCAGGUUUUGGAGGCUGCUGGAUUUGUGAGUAGUCAUAUUUAUUAGUCAAUUCCCAUUUGUCACUAUUAUUAUUAAAAAUGACAACACCAGUUUUUGUAUCCUGGACUGUAUUGUACUGGUCUGAGUAAUAACAUUCUUUAUUUUUAAGUCAAGAGCAUUUUGUUUAUGUACUCUAUCCACAGGGGAAAAUAUACUUCUUCUAUUGCUGUAAUGCACAAAGGACAGUUAAAUCUAAUAAGUUAAUCUAGACUUCUAGAAACAAAAUUAAAUUUUCAAAUAAAGGCAAAAUGACAGCUAAGGCAUAAAUCUUUUAUUUAAAAUAAAAAAUAAGCUCAUUCAAAUGCAAUCAGAGAAGACAGAUGUAGGUAAAAAACAAGUAGAGACAGGAUAUAUGGUGCAUAAAUUUGCUAUGUCUAUGUGAUAGAUCAAACAGGGUGACCUUAAAAAUGUUCCUAAAACAUCAGCUAAAAUAUGAAAUUUGCAUAUAUUUAAAUACUGCUUGUUAAUGAAAGAUGGACUAGAAAGAAUGUUAACACUGAAAGUAAAAUAUAGCACAGGUGUAAAGUGUAUAACAGAAAGGUCACAUUAGCUAUCAGUGGCUAAAAUGUAAAUAUUUACUAGCUUGAAGCUGGCAGGAAGUUCCAUAAAUUAGAAAUAUUAUCUUCUACUGUUUAAUGUAUCUUCUUAGGGAAAUAUUUAGAUAAAAAAAAAGACCGUGAUUCAGCAAAGUUCAUAACUAACUAAAUGCUUAAAGUCAGACAUCUUCUUAGAUCCAAAUUACCUUAAUGGGACGACUCACAGGUGCAGUUUUACUAGAGACAAGGGCAGGUCCCUCUGAUGAAGCAUGUUGCCAAAAUCACAGAGGCUGCUAUGAAGUUUUACCUUUGGAUUGGUAAAAAGACCUAUUUAUACUCAGAUUUUUCAAGUAUUCUUCAUUCUCUUUUUCUGGUCCAAGCCUGUGGUAGAUGGUUGUGUUUCUAAGUGUCAGAUCAGAUGGGCAUCUGGGAGGUGGCAUUUAUUUCCUAUUCAGGAGAGAAAAUGCAGCUUGUCAAGAGGACCUGAUAUUAAGUCAUAAGGAGCUCUUUUGUGUAAAUAGUCUCCUUGGACAAAAAACUGCCUGGGGUUUCUUGAUUCCUGCUGUCAUUCUUUCCUGGAGACCUUUUCCUCUGUCACCCUGUCCUCACAGCAGCAUUUAAGCCAUGCUACUUCCUGGGCUAGGAUGUGUUGGGAUUGAGUCCCCCCAGGGGUCUGCAGUGAGCCUCCAGCUUUUUCACCAUGUCCUCAGAAUGGGAAUUUCUCCAACUACGUAGGCAAUGGCAUAAGCACCUCUUGUUCAGCUCCAGUGCCCUUAAAGAGUUUGAGACUGGCCUGUCCAUCUGGUCAUCCCUAGAAGUACAUUGUAAUUAUCUCCUGGUUCUUAAUAAAUCUGGGUUUUCUAGAGAUUUCCGCUGUAAUUGGAUCAGCCAUUAAUGUAGCCCAGAUUUCCUACAGUAUUCUGCUGAGAUUACACCUGUUCCAAUAUAGUGACCCAGUUAGAGCCAAGAUACUUGUGUGACUAUGAAAGAGGAAAUCCAUUUGUAAAAUGUUAUAAGUAUUUUGAUGUACAGUAUCACAAUAAAAGACAUGUAUUUAAUGUGAAAAGCAUUGUCCAGCCCCUGGAAACAGCAGAUGGAUGUGUCAGUGGCUUUCCACCAAUCCAGAUAUGGAUGUAGGUACUGAUAGGCAGAAGGGGAUUUAUCUUUUCAAUUGCCUUGUGUGAUGUUUUGUUCUGCUGUUUUGUUAGCUCAUUAAUGUUCUUUUGUGGGGGUUUUGUGAAUGAUUUGCUUUUAAAGUGGUAUAAUCCUGAAAGAUCUUUUUUGUAUUCAUUGCUAGGAAAAGUGUAAGUUCUUCAAGCCAUUGAUUAGUGACAAAUGCCAUCUUUUGAGAAGUUCUCUUAAUCUUUGAGAUGUCUGUUUUGAAGGUCACUCCCAUUUAUUAAAGAAUUGCAACUGUACACCUGAAUAUUUCAUGAAUUGCUGGUAUUGUUUUUAGCUUUUGCAACACUUCUGCAUAGGAAACAAGUGAGAUAGCAGAAAGAUUUUUAAAAUAACCCACAUAUUGACCCAUUAUUAUGUUGUCAUUGGUUAAGUUGGAUUUUUUCUGUCACAUUUUUAUUACAUAACACAGGACAAAUAAAAAUCUGAGGUGGUGUAUAUGUGCACUGUGGGAAUACUGUCUUCACACCGAGUGUCAGCUGUCUGGGGUUGUUCAAGCAGUCCUCAUAAACCUGUGGUAACAUCUGCAGCAUAUAGGGUGAAAAUACAAACCCAGAGAGCAACAGAAAAUAGCCAGGGGGGCUUUCAAUAAAACUGUGUAGGUUAAUCACUGGAUUCCCUUGAAUGAGUUGCAUGCUACACGUCUCAGGCCCUUUUCUUUGGCCUCAGUUGCUGAGGGAUGUCAUUCUCUGCAUAAGACAGGAUUUGGUGCAUCAUCAAAAGCAUAAGUCUCUCACUGUUUCUUGAUGAGGGCUCUUUCUGCAUGUGGCAGGAGCCUGUCAUUCCAUAACAAAGGUCUUAGACUCAGUCUCCACUGAUGAUUUGUGUUUAGGUGUCUUACAUUUGCACUGUCUCACCCCAUGGGAAUGGGCUGUUGAAGACAAGGUCCCUCACACUGUGGGAUCAUUAAAUCCAGGUCAUCUAUAAAAGAUUUGGUCCGUGAAAGAAACUUUCCUAUAUGUUGUUGUAAUAAAACAUGCCUUGGCAGGAGACAUUUUUGAAAUGCUGCUUGCAGGACUGCAUCAAUGUAAAAUUUAAAAUUUGCCCUGUACUCUCAGCACUCUGAAAACUCAGCUUCCAGGAUUACAAGUGAACUUUACUCACCUAUUGUCUUCUUUAAACUUGAAACUUUUGGCUGCUUUGUAGACUGAUUUAGGUUACAGAAUCAUUACAGCUUGCUAAUUCAGGGAAAUUAGGUUUAUUUGUUUACAAGAAGCCUGUUCAAAAAAUGAUAUACUGUUCCAGUGUGGUCUUUCCUAUGGAUUAGGCACAGUAGAGUAUGUGUAUUGGGGCAGCCAAAACACAAGUAGACAAUUAGCUUUUCUACCAGAGACUAGUUUUGUUAACAUUCCCUUGAUUUGACAGCUGGAAUAGAUGAAUGUCAUUACUGACCUUUUCGAUUUUACAGCUUCUUCACUUCCAUAAUUCCAACUCCUGCAGCUGCACAAUGGAAAUGAACUUUAAUAAUGUUCCCCAAACUCCUGAAAAUGCCUUACUUAAGUCACAUUUUACAACACUCUAAACAAUUUGAACCUUUCAUAUCACUGCUUUUAAAACCACAGACUAAAUCAAUUAGCAUUAGCAAUUAUGUGGUGGACAUUUCUCGACUGUUUUGUAGAGCAGAUCUGAAUAAUCACGCAUUAGGUAUCCACACUUCAAUGUGAUAUAUGAUGAUGGAAAAAUUUAUUCCUGAGUUUUAAUUAUUGCUGGAAGAUAUUCUCUAGGUUCUGCAAUUAAUGCCUUUCAUUUAAUGUUAUAGGGUCAAAUACUAUUCACUUUAGUAAUGUGAAUUAUUUUAUUGAAGCUAAUAUAAGUAAAUAUAAAGAGCAGAAACCAGUUAUAGAAUGUAAGUUCCAAAGGUGCAAUUGUGUAAGCUGUGGUAUCCCACUGAAAUCGAAGUAAUGACAAGAUGUUUGUCUAGAUGAGACUGCUGUUGUUCUUAAUGUAGUUAAUCAGAGUCUGCAUUUUUUUGAAUUAUGUUCUAGUUAAAAAAAAGAGAGAGAAUUAGAGGGGAUUCCAUCACUGUGGAGAAUGUGAGGUGAAGUAACUUAAAGCUAUUAUUACAGUUGGGGGGUUUUGUUCUGGGGUUUGUUUGUUUGUUUGUUUUAUAUACAAAAUAAGACUAGUCCAGAUUUGACUAUCCAAAUCCGGUAAAAGCAUAGCUUUCAAAAUUGGAAAGCAAGGUGAAAUUGUACAGAAUGGCAAAGUUAACCUUAGAAACAAGAAUCCAAAUUGUUAGUGAUGUUACUUGAUGGGCUCUAGGGGUGGCUGGGGCCCGUUGGCUGCCAUGACUGUGGGGCUUAUGGCAUUGACCUCUUGCUCUUCCUCCUGCCAGACAGGCUGGUUAAGUCUACAGUGUAUUAACCACAUUUUAACAUAUUCUAAUAGUCCUUUUGAAAGGCUUAUUUCAAAGCUCUUAUGUGUCUAAUGGGUUGAGUCUCUUCUGAGAGUUCAAAUAUCCUAAUGAGAUUAACUCAUUAAAUAACUGCCCAUCACUUAGUUGCUGAUAAUCUGUUUCGUUUGUGGCACUGGAAGAGAGAGCUGCCUCUGAAAAUGUUAGCACUGCUUGGAGAUGAUUUCUCUUUGAAUAUUUUUAGAUUAUUACGUUUUCUACCCUAGACAAGCCAGUAUCAUUUUCCCUGUCACACAAAUGGAUUGGACUGUGCAAUAACAGUCUUUCUCCCUUCAGGUUGGUCAGGCAAAGGUGACAGGUUUUGCCACCAUGACAUUACCUCCUUCUUUAAGGAACAAGACUUAAACUUCCCUGUGACUAAUUAGUUGUCUCUCAAGGGAUGGAUUUGUCAGCACUUACACAAGCAGAAUGGCACAGAUGCCUUCCACAGAUCCCAAGGAAGGAAAAAGUAAAAUAAUUUCACCUCAAAUUUUACGAAUUGGCAAAAAAAAACCCACCACAAAUAAAAUACACAUAUGAAUAUUUAUGAAUCAGUAAAAAACAUGGCAGAAAACACAGGAUAGCACUAAACCUGUAUGCUAGUGUCAAGUGGCAGGAGAUGUUGUCUCCUUUUAACAGAGGUGAUCCGAGUCUCAUUUCUGCUGCCUUAUUUGUGCCCCAGUGAUCAUGGACAGCUUAGGAGUGAGUGGCUCAUUGGGGAAAGGCCAGAAAGGAGUUUGGUUUUGGAAUGCCUCAUGCAGGGAGCAGAUGAGCCUUGGCAUGGAAACAGGUGGCAGAGGCACCAGGAAGAAGUCCAGGCAGCGAGACCUGGUUUGGCUGUUGAGUUAUGCUGGUUGCUCCAGUUUCAAGACACAAAUGUUCUGUCCCUGGACAAAGGACACACAUAAUGCCAAGCCUGAGAUUCCUUUGAGGAGCUGGCUGGCCUUGGAUUCCUGGCAUGCUUUAGCCUUAACGAGCCUGGGAGUUUCCAAGCAGGAUUGCUCUCAGGAGUGCUCAAAAGAAACAAGGAGCCGUUUCUGUCACCUUGCACUUACACAUGGGUAGGAGCCUGUGUACUCACAGCAACAGCCUUUGGGAAAAUAACAGUGCCAAGCUCUAAUCUGAGAUGUCCCUAUAGCACAACCAGCACAUAACCAUGUUGGUUUAAGGCACAGUUUGAAUGGUCUGAACAAGCUGGGAUAUUUCUGUCCUGUUACUGAACCCACACUUGCAAACGAGAUGUGCUAUUAUGAUGACUGAUUAAGACCACACUGGUAUUGUGAUGAUACUAGUGUAAAAUCAGUAAUUUCCUUUAUAGCUCUUUAGGAUACAAAACAGUAUUACAUGCAAUGUUUAAAAGAUUUAAGAUAUUUUUCUUACAGGCUGUGCUGCUCAGGUGUUUGUCUACACACAGUCUUUCUGGUUGCUUCUAAAGAAAGCUCUGGUUUCUUGAUGGUCAGCUGUCCAGGAAACUUGAAGGGUGCUCUUUAACAUUUUUCAGUGGUAUGAGAUUGUCUUGCUUUUCAGGAGCUAUUUUUGAUGAGAAAAGCGCACCAAAAUUUAUAGUUUUGCAAAUAAAAUGUGAGGAUUUUGACAGUUGGUAAGGGAAAAAUAUAAAUAACACCAUUACAUUUUUUUCCUGUGUUUAAGCUAUUCUGGUAUUGGUUAAACCAUUUAAAAUAAAAAUGACUUUUGAAUUAGGACAGAAAGUAAGAAGGGAAAGUAUUUCGUCUUGUUUUUUUGAAGCCGUGGUCUCUUAUUACUGUCACCAGUAGAAGGACAGAGAAAAAUUCUUAAUUGUCUGCACAAGGACACAAUACAUGUUCAUCGCUAAGGUGAAUAAUAUCUGAACUAUUGAACCUACUAAAAUAAAUCCUUGUGUUUGGUGGGGGGGGUUUUGUUGGCAAUGCAUUUUGAGCAUAGCCCUAUGGUUGGUCAAAUUUUCCGACAUGAUAUCUUCUAUUUAAUAUAUUUCUGAACAGCCUGGUCUGUGACCCUAAGCACAAAUAUUGGAGCCUAAAUUACACAUAUCUUUACUUUUUUUGCAUUGUAAGGUAAUGUGUUAUACUUCAGAACUGUUCUCCACAUUCUUGGAAUGAAGAAGUGGAAAUAUCUCUGUUUCCUAAGGGUGGACCCUGUUUGGGUCCAUUCAGAUGAAACUGCAGUCAAUGUCUGUUUGGAUGUAGCACCACUUAGUAAAUAAAUCAAAACAGAGAGCAGCAACAUUCAUUGCUCAUUUUUGCUUGCUGUAGACUUGUUUUAAAGACAGCAGAAGGAAAUGGGAAAGGAAGGGAACUGCCAAAGUCACAUCUGUACCUAACUGUGUCUAACAUUAUCUUUUAUGUCAAAUCAUUAUCAUACCCAGGAAAAACCCCUGGUGUUUAGUGCCAGCUGUCUGCUGAUUCCAGCAAAGGAAGUGGGAGAAGACACCAGGAGCAAGGCAAUCAUUACAGAGAUAUGGUACCUCUGUACUAUUGACACUUUUAGGUGUUUGCAGUGUCACUGUGGGACAGUGGCAGGAGGCAGCGUGGUGUGGAGCUGGGAAGCACAUGGAAAUGACUUGGCCACUCAGCUGAGCUGUGACAGCAGUGCUUGCUGCCAGUCCACUUUCCGGGAGGGAAAGGGCAGCAGGAGUGCUCUGGAAGAGCAUCCAGCACAAUUGCUCAGGACUGGCCCUGACAGUAGGCAUCCUAGCACUGCCUUCUGUUUGCUUCAGUGAUGAAAUUUGUUGACUCAGAAGUUUGAUUAAUAUUUAAUGUGAGAGACAACACGUUGGUGCUGAUUUAAAAGAAGUGAAUGUACAUUGUUAUCUCUUGUGCUUUUCACAGAUAUGAAUGAUGACAGAUUUCAAUAUUACAUUCAGAAUUACUCUGGGAAAGGACGUGUUCAGUCCAGGAUGCUGUCCAUGGUGCGGGGUGUGCUCUGGAAAUGCAAAAUAAUAACAUCUUAUGUUAGUAGCAUAAACCACUGAUUACAUGUGCUUUGAUGUGAAGAACCACACUGCCAAUUGAACUUGUAGCUGUAGUCAGGGACUGAUUCACCACAUGAUCAUUUUUAGCCAAGCAGUUUCUGAAUCAUGGGCCUAUAAUUGCUUCAGAUUCCUGGUAUUGAUCUCUUAUGUCAAAAUAAUUGAACUUUAUGGCUGACUUCUGAUGCUUAUUGAGAAAUCAUAUAAUUACUUCCAACCAGCUGUGAGUCAAUAGCAGUUGAGUACAUAUCACUACUCAGAGUGCUUGAUAUAUAAAUUUCCUUCUAAAUAAACACAAGACCUACAACAUAUUAAUAAAUCUAGGAGCCUGGAUGCAUGGUCCUAAGUUACAUAAUUACAUCACCUAAUAUUUGUAAUACCUGAAAUAUCUGUUGUGUGUUUGCAUAUAAAAUAUACCUACUCCACCCCAGCCCUACAAGCUGUGGGACUGCUGUGCCUGCAGAGAGCUGCAGCAGGCUCUGCACCAAUGCAGCAGUUUGAGACACCGAGCAGGGAUUGAGGUCUUGUUGGCCUGGCAGAAACUCUUCUAUUUCCAUCUGAAGUUCACACCAGUCUAGAAAAUCCUGUCCUGAAUAUCACUUGCUUUUUUUAGCUUUGCCUUUACUCCUUUGUUUAUACCAAUGAACUGUCUGGAGCCUUAUUUACAAAGCCCUGUAUCCAGCACACAGACAUCCUUGUUCUCCUUCAGAGAGGGUCUUCAGAGUAGACAUACAUGUAUAGUCUGUUCUUCAAAAAGCUUAUACUUCUAUGAUUUCACAAAAACCUAUCAUUUCUGUUGACUGCAGGUUGGUGACAAAUAAACAGUUGCAAUCCUUUUGAACAGGCAGCUUAAAAAAGCUCCCUGAUAAGCUGAAACUCUUUUUCCAGAAUGGCUUAAGCCGAGAACUUUUGCGCCCCACUGCUGAUGGGGAAUAGACACACAGAGAGCUGGUAAGGGACUUAGGUGAUUAAAAAAUGUUUUACUUGAAGGUAAUGAAGGCUUCGUGUUGCCUCUUUGGAUAGCUUUAGCUGUCAAUUUCUACACCAAAUCCUACCUGAGAAAGCACAUUAGCUUUACUGAGUCUUGUUUCCCAUGUAAUCACUGUGCUGCUAGUGCUGGUUUUAUUCACUCCUGCAUUUCUUUAAAUAUUGUUUUAUUAAUUCUCUUUCCUUAAGGGGAAUGAAGCAUUAAUCAGCCAGUGCAUUUAGUACCUACUUACAUUAAUAUCUAGGCAAUGCAGUGAUUUAGAAUUCUUUACACCUUUUUUUGCAGGUUUUUCGUUAUAUUCCUUACUAUCUUGAGGAUGCCUUUCCUCAUGACACUUUACAAUAAACCUUUGCAAAAUGAAUAGCUUUCAUUAUGAAAUCAAUGAUAUUCCCUCUAAACUUCAGGGGCAAUGUCAAAGAAAAGCUACUAUAAUUGCUAAUGCUGAGCCAUUUUUUAUGACCAAACUCUACUUUCCAGAUGUCACAGCAAUUCAGUCAUCACCUUCCUCAGCACUUUUGCCUUCCCUUGUCACUGUGGUUCUCUUUCUCAAGAAAGUGAUUGUCAGCCAUGUUUUUUUCUGUUAUUGUGUCUUUACUCUGUUUUCUGUUUGAAUCCAACCUUAAACAUACCCUUUUAAGCAUAAAUGGCAUGAGGUUUAUACUUGUGACUCUGCAUAGCAGGAACCUCUGGCCACUACCUCUCCUAAAGCAUGAUUAUAAGAAUGAAUUUUAAUUAUGAAGCACAAGAAGUAGUUAUUAAGAACUUAAUGUAUUAAUUUUAACUACUUUUUUUUUUCAGGAAGAUCUACCAUACAGACACAGAAUACUACCUGUGACCAGUAGACUCUUCUGAGUACUGUCUUAGGUGUUAGAGAUUUUAAUUUGAAGUGGGGUUCACAAUAGCAUUUUUAAGAAGCCAGAUCCAGGGUGCUUACUGGGACUAGCCUGGGUGCUUCCUGCUUGCACUGGUUGGGUCCAGAUGUGAGCAUUCUGCUCAGUUUGAUCCUGGUUGGCACAUGGAGAGAGUUAUGGAUCUCUGGGGCCCAGAGGAAAUGGCUGGACAGAGAACUUCCUGGGACUGCUGCAUUGGCUGUAGACAUUCAGCUAACUGCGCAUUUUCUGGGAUUCAGAAGGGCCAUCUGCUACCCACACAGUCAAGAGGAAAGCCACACAAAAAAGAAGGCAGCAAAGAUGAAGGUUUCCCAUGCAAUCUGGAGUGACUCUUGCUUUUGAAAUAAGGCAAUCUGGAGAACAUUAAAGUUGGUAAGAACUGGUCUUUUGCAGGAGGAUGCAAGGCAGGGUGUUUAAGUUAUAAUUUCUAAAUGAUAGGGAAUCUGUUACUCUAUGGAUAAGAAGACACGAAGCCCCAAAUAGCUCAGCUGAUAACAGCAGUUAUGAGCUUUCCUGAAAGAUUUCAUAUUUUGUCUGAUUUAGUUAUGAUUUGUUUGCCUGAGCACUUCUUUUGAAGUUAUCUACAGUGGUGGCACCAAGGUGCAGUGGCUAGUGUACAAUUAUAGAACCAGGUUGGCAGACUGAUUGAACUGGCUAGCUGCCAUUUUCACAGCAACUAUAUUUUUUUCUUGUGGAUUUUAGAUCAGAUCCCUGCAGGAACAGAUUGAGUGGAGUUUUUAUAUUGUUAUUAUGAAUGUUUUGAUAUUGCAGUAAUGAUUUUUUGAUAUUUGAUAAUAAAGCCUUGAGAUUAUAGCAGUGGAAGCCUCAGAGUACCCUUCAUAAUCUAUUGAUUUUGUAGGAUUUCCAUGGUGCUUUUUUUUCUUAGCUGUCAUUGGUUGUUCAUUUUUUUAAUUAUUUUUGUGGGGAUUUCUCUCACUACUUUUGCCUGCCACACAGUGCUGCUGUGUAUGAACUAUGCACAACCAAUGCACUUACAUUAUCCUGUCAAGUGCUGCUAAUCAAAUACAGGGCAGCACAGCCCAAGUUUGGUCCCGCAUCACUAAACUCAGGGAAAGCUUUACUUCAGCUACACUAAAUCAGACCCUAUCUGAGAACAGCUGGGUGUUUUUGAUACAGUGAGGUUAUACUCCAGUUUGUAACUAAAAAUUUAGACAGCUAGUAGGUUUUAGGACUGAACAUAAAUUAUAUCCCUAAAUUGUAAUCUCUCUAGAACAGGAAUGGUAUUGCUGUGUGUAAUCUGCAAAACAUCCUGACUAUUUUGGCAGGGAAGGCAGAAUUUGAUGACAGACUUGUAAUUGCAGCUGUGAAGUGCAGAAGUAGAGAUGUGCCUGGGAGGGAGAGGUGCCCUGCACUCCUGGGAGCCUCCCACUCAUGGGAGCAGCUGGGUUGCUGUUGCACCCUUGCCAGCCAAGAAGCUGUCUCUGCUCUGGCUUGUCCAAAUUUAUCCUCAUGCUGCUGAGUGGCCAGUCUUGGUUUGUCCAUCAGCUGCUGCCAAGCAGAUGGCACUGGCUGUGUUUCCCUCACCUUUGCUCAGCAAAAGCUCUAAUUUGUGUGUCCUUCUGCUCCCCAACCAAAAGUGUCCAUGAAGUCUUACAGGCAUGUAUUUAUUCUUGAGACUUACAAAGAUUUUUUACUCUGACUGAGGUUGACUGACAGGCUCAAAGGUUCCUGUAAGGCAAUAUGACAGAAAAAUAAGAACAGACAGACAGACAGUAAUGCCAUGACCCUCAUUUCCUUAGGAAACCAAGCUAAAAAUGAAAAUGUAACCUCAGACCCUUUGCUGAGGGCUUCCCUUUUGAAAGCCAGGAUGAGAACAGAUAUAUUCCAGAUCAGAAGAGACAUGUGGAGAUUACUGUAUUCUUGUGACUAUAUUAAAAGAGCCAAGAAAAGAAAGUAAUUGUGAAUAACUUUUAAGUCCUCUUAAAUCACCAUUAUUAUUAAAAUUAUUAAUAACAAUGUAAUUGUAUUUACUUUUCAAAGGAAAAAAUGGUCUCAUGGUACAGUUAAAACCAGAGAGGGAUACCUGGGGGACAGAAUGCAGAGGUGCUCCCCUGCACCUGCUCUCUGCCCAAGGGACAGACUGAGGAGUGGCUGCUGUCCUGUGCUGCACUGGGCUGCAAACCAUGCAGCAGGUAAAAACAAGUGAAAAAGGAAGCUGGCAUCGGUGCCCCUUCCCUAGGGAAGGUAUGCAUACAGCAGAGAGGAGUUCCAUUUCUGUCUCAUGUAACAGAAGGUGUGUGCAGCAAGCUCAGGAGAGGAAAGCUCCGUGUCCUACCCAGACUACCCUCACCUACAAAUUGUAGUAGCUCACAGGCAGUUUGUAACCAUUCAGGUGAGUGUUCUGUAUCUGUAUGACUUUUGAGUUUUAUUGAAGCUCUUCAGUCAAUUUACCAGUGACCUUGAGAGAUCCUCUCAGAUGUGCUGGCAAUUGUGUAGUUGAUGCAUUUCCAUACAAGGCACUAAACCCUUACAUAUUGGAAAAGUCAUUUGGUCUGUCAGAACUUGCAUGGAAAAAUACAAAUAUUUCAUAAGGACAAGUGGGCAGAUUAUUCUCAGGGUAUUGAUUCCACAUUUUGGUUUGCUGCUAAAUAGACCUCCCUACUGGAGAGACUGAGCAACAUGGCCAUUUCAGGGAGACACUCUGGGGAUUUAUUGAUUGGACAUGAGAAUACUAAUCAUGAAAUAGCAUAGAUUGAACAUGCUUUUGUGACUACCAUUUGCAUAAAAAGGUAACACUUCAAUAUUGGGAAGGCAAGACAUUUCAGAACAUUAACAGUAGCUGUCUCAGAUCGAGUCAUAUUCCUUUACCAGUUCUUCAGGCUUCUCAUUUUCCAGGGUCUAGAGAACUGGGACAACACACAUAUAAUGAAUGCCGUCUGUAACAAGUAGGUUAUCAAAUACAUUUGCUAUACUGGACAGAUACUGAAAAUGAAACUCCUAUCUCCAGCAAACCUAGAGAGUAAUGUUUUCUCUCUCAAACUUACUGGAAAACUGCAUACAUUUUGGAUUUUGAAAUAGCUUUCUGUUUGAUUCUUGUAAUCAAGAAGUUAAUUCAAUUAAUUUCAAUCAAUUUUUGUAAUCAAACACUUUAAACUUUCCUUCCUCUUUACAUAUUAAUUUUAUCAGCUUGAAGUAUUCAAAACCCAAAAAUGAGGAAGCCCUUAAAAUUUUGAGCAAGACUACACUGUUAUAUAGUUUACUCUAUCAUAUUUGUAUAUUUUGCUCUAUCUUUCUGUUGUGUUAGGGGGUUUUUUGUUUGUUGGGUUUGGUUUUUUAUUUACUUUACUUUUUUAGAGUAGCUCAUCAAAGAUAGAACGUGCAUCUUCUUAGGCACUUGCUAGUCCCCUGCUUUGUCAGUGGACCCCCAGGCAUCUCCACUGGCAGCCCCAACAAAAGGAUUGCAAGCUAUCUGCAGAGGACAGGCAGUUAUGUAGGCCUAAAUGGGCUUGGAGGACUUAUGUCUGUGUAUUUUAUCUGGCUUGGGGCAUUUGUCCCUUGUUGGCCACAGCAGCCACCCUGUGAAUUUCAGAGGUCAAGAUGAAGAAAAUGGGCACCUGGUUUGAAACCUGGACCCCAACAAACCAUUCACUACCUUUUCAGAAGUAUCUAGAUGUAAAGGCUGAGACAAAUAAUGUUUUAGGUUUGUUUGUGCUAGUGAUGUAGGCUAGACCCAAUGAAAGGUCUAAUCUAUGCUUCCAUGCACAAGUGGAUGCAAACUGCACUAAUUCAGUGCAGAACACAGAAUCACUGGAGUUUUCUGUGCUGCUGUACAUUUGGGUAUGUCAAAAGCAACCAGUAUGAAGACACUGCACUUUAACUCCUAAAGUGUAGCACAAUUUUGUUUAUUAAGGUAGAAAUCAGAAUGGCCCAGACUGAGCUCUUCUACUUUAGGUGCAAAUCCCUCUGAUUAUGGGCUGAUGGUAUGUUAUACCUUGUGCCUGCUGUUCUCAGUUCCCUGCAGAUGGGAUUCAACAAGGUACCUCAAGCACCAAUAACAUGAAGUACUUUACUAAAUAGGGUCCUGAAAGACAUCAGACCCUUAAAAGCCAGUUUGGCCUGCUGAGAGAUGAGCAACUUCACUCCACAUCUGAUGAGAGGAUCCAAAUUGUCAGUUCAGUGGGAGAAUCUUUCUAUUGUAGGGAUGAAAAGCUCAGGGGAUCUCACUCAUGCUCAGUGGUCUUGUAAUUAAAUGUUACACACUUGAUGAGCAUUACAUUGCAAGCCUCAAGGCUAAUUUACAUGUUACCACCAAAAUGUCUUAUUUUAUUUUGCUUGUAAAAAUACUGUGCAGGCAUCAUUGCAUGUCAUUGCAAAUGGUUUGUUAUCAAUGAUGCUUGGGUGACUCAAAAUUACUAAAAGCUGUACAUAAUUACUGCUAAAAAGCCCCAUACAGAACCAAUAGUACUUCCUCUACAGUAGGUAUUUUAUGACUAAGAAGGCUUUCCUGAUGUGACUGACAAUGUUAGGAUCACAAACAAGUAGCCUGCCAGCAAAUAAAGAAUAGCAUUUUGGGGAAACAGAGUAGUUUGAUUCAAUUAUAGUACUACAUGUAUCAUUAAAGUGUAUGUUGCUUUUCUGGGAGCUGUCCAUUAAAUCAAAACAGGAAGGCAGGGUGGGAGGAAAGAGAGAAAAAUGAAAAUAGGUAGGAGCUUGUUGUAAGAAUGGUGAUAGGUAUGAUGUCAAUAUAAGAUAUUUACUGGCAUAUUUAAAUGCUUUAUGUUGUAAAAGUUGCUUUUACUGAUUUGGGCCACAUGACUCAUGCCACUCUUUACACAAGAUAAGGGAAAGGAGACGAAGCUUCUCAAGACUCUGGGAUCCAUUUAGCACAUACUCCUGUAUCGGUUUCUUGGUCGGAGGAGGUCGUUCCACAAGAAGCAUUUCAAUGCACACGUAUCAGAUGGACUGAACGGCCGUUUCUUACAAUUCUCUAUUUCUUUUAUACUGGACUGACUUCAAAGCAAUGCUAAAGCACUGCAAUCAUUUAUUGGAAUAUAUUAAUAAUAAUAAAUUACAGUUUCAUUCACUGAAUUCCAGCUCUUAGAAGAAUAAACAACCUUGUGCAGAUGCAGAAGAAAGGCAGAGAAAUAUUAGAUGACUUACCCACAGUCUGUAGCAGGUGAGUGAAAGAAUUAGAUACAGAACUUGUGGCCUCUGGCCUUUCUUUCAAAUAAUCUUUCCUGUGUUUGUGCCACAGUAAAAUGAUUUUGCAUAUGUCCUGUCUCAGAAAUAUGAAAAAUAUAUGCAAUAUGCAAAGCAGCCAAUUGGGCUGCCUUUUGGAAUAUAUCAUCAUUUAUGAACGGUGCAUCUUGAAGCCUAAACAGAUUGUGUGCAAUUAAUUGCAAACUGUCAAAGAGACUACAGCACUUUACUGCCAAUUUGUAAAUAAAACCUACUAUGCAAAAGGACGGAGGCAAGUGAGGUGAGUUUCUCUGGAUAAAGGAAAGGCAAUGCACAAAUGCAGUGCAACACAAUUUUUACACUCCAGCCUUUAAGAAUUUUGCUGACCCUGUAAAAAAAUGGUGUGGUGCAGAGUCAUUGUAAGCUUCUCCAUAGGUAAAUAUUUUACAUAACCUAAAUGAAGAACUCCCAACUUACUUGAUAAAAGAAUAAAGAAGUCACCAUGUGCAAAAAGAAAAACGUUCUUUUUAGUAAAAUCUUGGAAAAUACAUGAGCAUUUUUGUACCCUAAAGAUGUGCCGAACAAUGGUGAUGAUGAUGUGCAAACAAAGCAGAUUCCCUUUAUGUCCCGAUUAUGACCCUCAAAUGAUCUUUGUUAUAAAUAUACUCAUCCUGGUGACUGGCCAAUACCUGACUGGAUUCCUUAUCCGGUGCUGUCUAGCUCCCUUUGUAUCACUGCUGUUACCAACCUACAGCUCAUUGUUCCCCUCAUAAUAUUCAAUAAAUACAAUAUGUUUGGUGCCACUGCUGAUCUGCUGAGCCAGUCAGUGGCCAGCCCAGUGACUCAGUCUUGGUCUCAGCUUCAGAAGAAAAAUGAUGAUGCCUGUCUUUCUAGGUUUGAACCCCCCUCCGGUGAGCAGCAUCACAAAUGUGAUACAGACCCUCAGUAAUUACUGAAACAGCAGUUUGUCACAAGCUGCCUGCAGCACUGAUGGACAAUCUGCUUGUGGAUAUAGUUAGAGGAAGGAAUAUGUAAGAAAAUAUGAUAUUUGUGACAGGCUUAACUUGGAUUUUUUUUUUGUUUCAGGGGAUGAAAUGUACAUGUGGAGGCAGUGUUGAUGAAGAACUAGGUACCCAUUUUCAUUAACGCUUCUUCCCACCUCUCUGGUAUUUAAUAUAUAUACAAAAUUUACUCCAGUGUAAAUAAGAAUUUGGCUCAAGUAGCAACCACAUCUACAUGAAAUGCAAUUUGUAUCUCCCCUGAAGUUCACAUAUAUCAGCAGUUUCCAAAACAAGUAGAUUUAGCCCUCGAGGAAGAGCAGAUCUGCCUACAUAGCCCAGUCACCCUUCACACUGGUACCAUGGAGGGGGUCCUUGUGUCACUCAGCAAACAAAAAAAUCCCUUCUCUACUCCCCUGAGCCUCGUAACAGCCCAGAGCUUCCUGCAGCAUAUAGGCACUUCCCUGUGCUCUGUGCAUCUGAAAAGAAAUGGAAAUCUAGAAGUCCUCUUCAUGGGAAACAGUUCUCCUUAUUCUUUUUCUGCCCUAAUCUUGUAGUGCAAUUGCAGCUCCAGAAAUGACAAAACAUCUGAGUCCACUGACAGUGAGGUAAAUUCAAGGUUGAGAGAUGAUGAAAGAAAAAAUGGACUCUUAGUCUGAUAGGCUUUGGAUGGAGCUUUACAGGGAAUCAGGACACCAAAGGAUGCUGUUGUAGGGGGCAGCUGCCCAUGGAGGGGAAACACAGGUCCAGCUGUCUGGAAAAUCAGAAAUCUAGAAUUGAGAGGAGGGAAUGCACUGCUUGGCCCCUGCCAAAUUAACAAUGACUUUUUGUUUCGCAGAUUAAUAUGUUGUUCCAAUUAGACAAUUGAAGACAUUUUGUCUUCUAUGAGAUGUAUUCUCUCCUCCUCGACUUAAGGCAAUUUACUUCCAGGAUUUUUUUUUUUUUAACUAGAUUGCACUUGGCUCUAGGUACAGAAGGUUUCCUUCAGAAAUCUUUGCUGAGUUGAUGGCACAAACAGCUAUGUUCCUCCAGACUCUAUUAACUCAAACUGUCAAAAUCUACGUGUCCACCUCCCCUUGUUUGUUAUUUUGUUUAUUGCAGUGCUGGAGAUCGCUCGCGUUUCACCAGAAAAGGCUCUCCAGUCCGCAGCUCUCGGAUUUUCCCUCUCGUGUCACUCAAGCAAACUGCCCUGAGCUUCCCUGCUGCCGAGGUCGAAGCAGAGCCACCGCAGCCCUCUGGCCCCCGCCGGGAGCCCGCACACCAGCACCCGCUCGGAGCCCCGGAGCUGCGGGAACACACAGACACACACACAUAGACACACAGACACAGACACACACACACAGACACAGACACACACACACACACACACACACACACGAGCUGGGCUCCCCAGCGCUGCCGAGAGCCAAAUGGGAUUUUGCCUGAAUGAGUACUGGGGGGUGGGCGCUCGUUCAGAGCCACAAACAACUCCUUAAAAUACCACGAGUGCUCCGAAGAUGGAAAUUUGCUAUAUUAUGAUUUCAGAAAACAGCAGAUGAACACUGGACAUAAUGACAAGUCCCCCCAGCUCUGAAGAGCUCACUCAAACCCACUGAGCCUUCUGAGCAAUCCAGCUUCAGCCCUUGACUGUGUUCAUUACAUUAUUUUGAUGCACUGUGAUGAAUGCAAGAGAUCACUAUACAUUAAAAGCAGAGUUCAGUAACCAGUAUGGAAUAGUGUCCAUAUGCUGGCUGACAGCUUUACCCUACAGUUACUGGGCUAGUAGUUUUCAGCCAAAAGUCAGGAGAAUUUGGUACUCAGGGUUUUGCCCUCCCAUUCCCCUCUCUCUGUCACUGAACUAAUCUGAAGUAAUAAUUUUCAACUGAAUAUUUUUAAGUGUUAUUUGUAUCUGUAGUUGCCAGUAAGAGCUCAGCCCCGUUCCUCUCACCACCACCUCUGCAGAUGCUCCUGAAAAGUGGGCAGGAGACCUCCACCACCCCUGGCUAUUCCCAGCAGGAUUCUGAAGUGUUCCAGCUCUGGUGAGGUACAAGUGUGUGGUGAGGAGCACUGAUGCUCUCCUGGGAUACCACCAUGUAUGUUAUGUAGUGCUUGUAUGUCACUAAGAUUUUGGAGGGUAGAAUAGAGAGAACCUAUUAUUUUCUUUAGAAACAGUUUUCCUCCUCUGUCAUCCCCCGACAUCUACCCCUCACAACAGGCUUGUGGUGCAAUAAGCACUUCUCUACAAGGGCUCUGCUCCUUUUAGAAAAGGAUUCCAGAAGGAUACCGACAGCACUGAAAUCCCAUUUGGUCUGCUUGGUUUUUACCAGCCCUACUCAACUGCCCUGCAAGAAGAGAGAGGAAUAUUUUCCCUGCUCUCUGGAGUAAAGUCCUUCAUUACCACGUCACAAAAGAAAACAGGCUGCUUGGUAGCUAAGGAAAAAUGCUGACUUUAAACCUGAGAUAAGGCUCUAUCAUUUACACUAAUGAGCUCACUGGUGGGGAAUUUGUAAAAUAUUACGAUAAAAAGUAGCUGUAGUCAGUGUUCGAUGGAAUUUACUAUUUUACUUUUUUGCUGAAAAUAGAUAUAAGUACUAAUAAUUUUCCCAUUCAAACCUAGAGAGAAAUAACUGCAGCAAGAAUUGUCCCAGUAGAAGUUCAAAGAUCUUAAGUCUGUGACAAGAAAAACAAAUCAAGCUCCCGACCUUGGCAUCAUCGCUCACUUAGGAAUUUUUUGUACCUGAAAGAAAAUCUGCUGAUAUCCCAUGCAAGUAAUAAAUCACCUCACGUCAUCAGUAAAUACAGCUGUAAAACAGACAUCUCAAGGUAAGACUGAAAUCCAAUGUUACUUUACAAAAAAAAAAAAAAAAAAAAGAGAAAAGCUUGAGAGUUCUAUACUACACAUGAACAAUUAUGGUUGUAUAAACCAGAAUGUCUAACAAUUGUCUUAAGGAUGGUGUUUUCAAAUGUCCUUAGCAGUGAGCUAAUAUUCUUUCCCAGUUUUAAAUUUGCCCUAUGUAAUAUAUAUGGGACAUCAGAAGUCAAAUACUGUAUUGCAGGCAGUCAGUAAAAUGCAGCAGGUGACAUUUAUCUUAAUAAGCUUAAUAAUUUUGUUAUUCUUCAAACUAUACAAACUCAAAUACAUGUGUAACCCAAGGAUGCUUCAAGAUAGAUAAUCUGAUAUUAAUUUACUGCUGCAAUCCACACUUUGGUUAAGAUUGUGUAACUGUUUCCCCUUUGACCUUCAGUUUGCAACUACCUGUAUCCACCAGAAAUUUCCUCUCCUUAUACUUGGGUUUUGCCACUAUUUUGAACUGCAAAAGUUGAAUUUUUAUUUCAACAUUUUAUCACAAUCUUUUUGAACAUUUCAAAACACAUGGAGGUUCAGGGAAAACACUAAGCUUAUUUUGUUUGAUAUUGUCUAGCCUGAAGUGAGAUCCAAAAGUAAAAAUUAGAACUCUUUUUCUGUAGGAAGGAGUGCAUGAUUAAUGUUGAGAAGCAAUCUGGUUUCAUUUGAUCAAAUAAAAUUACAGAACAUUUAGAUAUGAGUACAGGCAAAUGCUCAGCUGGCAGUUUUUGUCAGGUGCACACCUUGGAAAGCAUAUGCACUGUCUAGUUGUCCAUCUAUUGGUGGGUUUUACCCUCAGCAAUGCCCUCUUUCUCCUGCAAGCACAAGUGAUCAUGAGAGAAUUCCCCUGGCUGGUGGUGUUCUCCUCCUGGCACCGGAACCAGCCUGUCUGUGCCAUUUUCUGUCUUUUGUCUGCUGAGUAUGACCUGCACUGGCAGGCACGUGGCACAACAAAUCUCUGGCCUUUGUCAUUCUACAGAGUGUGGAACACCACAGAUAAUUUCUGCUGGAUGGCACCCUAGCAGUUCAUCUGCUCCUGCUGUGCACUCUCUCAGUGAACUCAGUCUGCUCUUUGAGUUACCUUAACUGCUUGCUGUGGAAGCUGAAGGUGACACCAUAAGCAAAUCACCAUAAAUACAUGCAAACCUCUCUUAUAACAGCAAAUCAGAUGGUUGUAGAUAGGCCACAGUGUGGACCAGCAAGAGUUGUUUUGCACUAAAUCUCAUUUUCACACAUCUUUGGACUUUGCACGGAAUCCCAGCAGAUGUUUGGGAAGACAAGUAUCUUAAGUUUAUAUGGGCAUAUAUAAAUCCCCGAAUUGCUUUUUGCUGUUUAUACUUCAUAAGCUAAUAUAGCAGUGAACAAACUGCAUUUUCAGAACUGUGAACAAACUGAAUUUCAUAUAAGUUAUCCAGUUAUGGGCCAGACUUUGCAUUUCUUACUCAAGAAGGAUUAAAUCAAAAGGCAAGUAGUCAGUGAAAAGGUGAUUUUAUACACAGCUAGCUAAACUCUUACUAAAUUAUUCUCUCAAAGGAAAAAUAAAUGUUUCCAGUAGAUUUCUCUGCACUUGUUUUUGGAGAAGCUGAUGCCUUCGCCCUUAGAGGCUUUCUUCAUAAGUGAAGCUGAAAUUAAAUGUCUAGUGAGAUUGAGUUUCUAAGGACGAUUUUCCUAAAACAGGAUUAAGGCUCACUGAUAGUUUAAUGGAGGGCAGGUAAUGCUGCUGCUGCUCCUGAUUUAAACUGCUUUGUGGCUAAACUAUAUUUUGGUUUCUACAGAUAACAGCUCAGUACCUCUGAGCUUUAAACUUACUUCUGGCUCUCCAUAGUUUUUUUCUGGAACAAAAUAAGCAACCCUCUUGUGAUCUGAGCAGGAUAAUAUCCAGUCCUGAAGCCGUUCUUCAGAAACUUAAUGAAGAUCACUCAAUUAUUUUCUUCCCUUCAGAUUAUUUCCAAGUUGUUUGUUUGCUUGUUUGUUUUCUUUGGGUGAAACAUUAGGGGAGUUCUAUAAACUAAGAGUCUGUGGUCAAUCUGUCAACAUUAGGGUAGUAGCUAGUUAUCACACAAUGCACAGUUUACAUAUUUUCUCCAUAUUCACAGAAAUUUUUUCUUAAAACCAAACAUCAAAGAGCUCUGCUUGACAAAUACCUUAGUUUCAGUCUAACAGCUACAACAUCCAUUAGUUUGUAAAUACCUUGACACCAUUUCCAUUGUAUCUGAAUGACAAUUGCCCUUUUGUAUUUCAAUGACAUUGAUUAACAAGGCAGUUUGUAAUUAGAUGGGUAACAUAAUUCCUGUCCCUCUGUAAACAUCUGAAUUUGCAGAUCUCGACUCCUAGCUCGGGAGCUCUCUGCCACACAUCAUUAAUUACGCCAUGUUCUUAUAUAUCAGUCCCUACAUCCUCCUGCUGAGCAUCUCUUCUUUGUUCCCAGUACGAGUCAGAGACUGUUGUCAAUACAGAGAGAAUCAACACAACUGCCUAGCACUGCAUGUGACAUUUCAUGAAAAUGAAGUCAUAUCUCAUUUGCAUGGCAGGUGUUACUUUAUUCCAGCCAGAACUGCAGAAGCUGGGUGCUACGGUGCUAGUCAAGUGUGCAAGACUGAUAGCCAGUGGCAACGAGGGUGUCUGGCACAGGAAUCUUUACAUCUCCCCCUUGCCCAUCUGUCCACCUCCUGUGUGAGGAACAGGGCUCCUGGUAAAGCAAUUUGUUCAUUUUUCCAGGCCCCCCUGUUCUCGUUCUUUCUGGUAACUCCGUCCAUCAAAGCCCUCAAAGUGGUCAAGGUGGUUGGGGGUGGAAGGCCCACCCAGCUUCCUGCCAGGGGGGUCACCACUAAACAUCAAGCAACUUCCAGCUCAGGAGGGAAGACUCUCCUGGAUUCAAAUCCACAAGCUAAAAAUAAAGAGCUCUAUAGCACAAGAGAAUUGACUUCUGUCAUGCAAAAGAAGUGUCUUACAAGAGUAAUAUAUGAGUAUUUUUUUACAUAAGAAACAGCCAUGUAUGUUGAAAGAACGGGUAUGGUUUUUUGAGUCAAGCCCUCAAAAAAAUUAAAAGGGCAGAGUCUUGCUCCUUCAGUUUCCAUUCCCCCUUGUCAUUUCGUCAAUUCUAACAAGGAUGCGAAAUGCUUAUUUUUGCUUGAUUUUUAUUUGCUUUAACCUUAUUAGUACCCCUUAGAAAUAUUAAUUUUAUUUUAAAGUUUCUGAUUCUGGCUUGGAACUCAGUUAAGACCGUCAACAGUACUAACAUAUUGCAAAUCUUAAGCUUAUGUCUUACAUGAAGUGACUCCGCCCACUCACUUUUAUCUCAUUUUCUACUUCUCAGGAGAGUUUUUGUUUCUAUUUUAUUAUCUCCCCAACUCCUCUCUGACCACUCUCCUUCCCCUAUAAUCAUUUUGCCACUAAUUUGGUUUCCAGAGUGCUUCACUGCUGAAUGUCUAAAGUAGGUGCGUGGUAUUUUGAUCCUCCCUGAGGAAGCUCCUGAUGCCAUUGGUUACCGCUACAUCCCGUCCCCUCAGAGCCAGCCAGUACCAACCCACAGGCAAACUCGGAUACUUCGCAGACACUCUGAGUAACUUUACAGACGCACAUUUUACUUAGCAGGGCAGUAAUAUGAAGAAAGUUUUAUUUAAAGCAGUUUUCAGAAAGAGAGAUCGAUUUCCCAGGCAAAAACUUAUGAACCCCACAGUCGAACAGCACAGUAAAAUAAACUAAAGCCGUUACCAAAAUUCAUAAUGAUUUGCAGAGAAGCCCAGUUUUGGAUGAUAUUCAGUUUCCCAGAGAGGAUGCUACAAACUCCAUGUAAGUUUCUAUCUCUGAAUAUAAGUUUUAACUUUAGAAACAGAUUUGCCAGUUAGAAAAUUACUUUGUUCCAGUUGUUUGUUUCUAACGGUUCAUCGGUAAAUUUCUUCAUUUACAAUAUCGGGUGAUGAUCUUUUUUGACAGCACAUCCAGAACGAACAGUGGUCAGAUGUCCACAGAGACAAAGCAAUCUUUGCACUUUAGGAAACAACGACAGCCCUACAACCGCGCUCCGGGCUGGACCCAUCCGUGGGCAGGGCUCUGUCUAACAGCGGGGUGCUCUGCCGGCCAGGAAAGGCUCUGGACGCUGUCAAGAGUUUUUUGUUCGGGAAGCCUUGCGGUCUGUUCCUC